CUUUUUGCUCACCCCACCUGGUACUCCAUGUCGUAGCUGGGCAGGAUGAUCCGCCCGUGCUUCCACUCGCCGCCCUGGUCCUCACGGAUGACCCACAGCAACUUGCUCUCCUGGCUGGCUUCCCGCACCACCUGCAGCGCCACCCCGCGGCCGCCCGUGGCCUGGACUUCAGGCAGGCCAUUUUCCAUGGAUUUCAGCAGUUAUCUAGUGAGGGAGAAUGAGACAGCUAUAAAGAUACCAGCCACUGAACACUCCAUCAAGGGAUCCCACAGAAGACACAUCCCUCCAUUACUUGCUUCUUGGUUCAUACCAAAACCAGGGAACUAAAGAAUCAUCAAGGGCCCCUGGUGGUUGCUCUCAUGUGAGUGUCCAAAGCACUGGAGCAGUGUUGUCCAAUACAUUCUGUGAUGAUGCCGUGUAUACAGUGACGUGCCCUGUCUAUGCACUGACCAAUACAGUGUAGCUACUGUGCCCUUGGAAUGUGGCUGGUGGGACAGCAGAACCGAAGUUUUGGCUGUAAUCAUUUUAAUUAAUUAAAAUAAAAUUGCCACACAU
ensembl:lncRNA NRP2-AS1 NRP2 antisense RNA 1